GUGUAUCGGUCAGCGCCACCCUUAACUGAUUGAUAGGCCUUCAAAGUCAUCCCAGUUGAACAUCGGAACUGGAAGUGGCUUAUUGCACCAGAAGACUUGGAGAAGACAGUAGAGAUGCCAUUGUGGAUCACUGUUCCAACCAUCCCAUCUAGGAUUUAGCCUGGGUUGAUGCAAAGGUAGCUAAGGAUAGGAAGGAUUUGGUGAAAAUCCUAGAAGUUCCAAAGUCGGAGAAAAAGAAGAGGAAACGACUUGAGGGUACCACAAAGAAAGCCGAUGAUGUUAGGCCUUCCAAAAGGAAGUCUGGUGUAGAGGGAAGUUCUGACAUUCCUCAAGGGAGAGUUGACAGAAUGCUUGAAGUUUGAGAUCCCACUUCAUUCAAGCUAAGGCUACUUGAGGCGGAACAGCAACAUGCUUUGGUAGUUGGCGAAGAAAAGGAAGGGAAACUUUCCUUAAGCAGCGGUGAAGAUUUUGUUAAAGUUCCUCAAAAUCAGGUUCAUGCAGUCAUGGAACAACAACAAGAAUAACAGCAACAACAACAAUAACAAAAACAAGAUGACCUUGCCCCUACUCCUAUCCAAAGGGUGAUUUCUGAGUGGUAUUGUACUCCUAUUCUUGGGGAGCAAAGUAAUGAUAAGCAACUCCGUUGGACUUCCUCCUCAUAUGCCAAAACAUCAAGUUCUUCCGAUGCUGCCGUGAGAGGAGCCUAUUCUCAUGUAAUAAUCAAGCCCGUCUACUGUUGCAAAGUGCUUCUCUUCAAUGUAAGCGGUCUUUAUAACAUAAAGCAUGCUCAGGCUCUGAUCUGCUUGACAAUUUGCCUCACCGAUAUGGAAAAUCAGGCUAAUGCUUGGACAGAAGCUGCAGUCUUGAGCUAAAUGGAAAAAAUAUGUAAGUUAGAGGCAGCUCACAAGAGUGAGAUCGGUGGCAAAAUCAAGUUAGUAAGACAGCUUCAAGGGAAAAAUGUGAAGCUAGAGAAGCUUUUAGCCAAAGAACAAGGGGCAUAGCUUGGGGUGUAGAAGGAGAUAACUAGAUCCAGCAACUAUGUCAUGAAGAGAAGAAGGAUGAUGAGCUUGUGGCAAAGAUGGCCAAACUUGAAGCGAAGUCGGUUCAAGCACUUAAGGCCAAGAACAACACAAAAUGGAUGCUGCGACAGAACGAAGCAUAUGGGAUGCUGAUCGGUCCAUUCUUAAGUUUGAGCUAGGCGGAGUCCGGCUUGGGGGAAGAAGCGCACAUUGAAGCCGUUCAACAAGCCACGGACGAUAACGAGGCGAAGUUGACAAAAAGCCAUGCAAUGGUUGAAGUGGCAACAAGCCAUGGACGAUCACAAUGAAUGGGAUGCUCGUCACAAAAUGACAGAGAACCAAAAAGCAAACUUACCAAUCCAUUCCCAAUUGGCAAGGGAGGUCGCAUAAUUAGAGGUUUGUGAAGAGGUUGAGUCAAGUUCUGACUUUGAGGCAAUACUGAAAGAGUUUGUUGAUUCAAGGGUUCCCUAUGAAGAUCUGUCUGCUGUAGAUACAGGUAAGGCAAUCGAUGUCAUGACUAUUUCUGAGGGUUAAUUCCACAAAUUCUGAGACAAUUUAUUUGGCCAAAGAAAAGGCUUGUCCCUUUCGUAAUUUGCAAAACUUGCCCAAGUCACAGGACGUUCUCACACUUUCCUUAGAAUGAAUCAACCUUUUGCAUGUUGAUCGUAUUUAAUUAAGAAGUCUUACGUAGAUCUUUAAGCUUGUUAGAGUAGAAUAAAUAGGAUUUUUCUUUUUUGUUUCCACAUUGUGGAAUAUAGUUUAGUCAGCUAAUCUUUUUGAAGUAAGCUAACUUUGGAAUAUAGAGUACUAAGGUGAAACACAGGUAAGUUUGUAAGCUUAGGAUAGAGCUCGAAGCCCCCAAGGUAACGUUGAUUCGGAAGAAUAUCACCUCCCAAAUGUAAUGUCUAUAAGUAUUUUCACUAUAAUAGUCAGAGUACCACCUCACUCCUCUACCAGGUAUUAAGCCUAUGAGAAAUCUUUAAUGUAUUCAUCAAACUAAAAAUCAGAAAGCAUCGAUCCGUACCUAUAAUAUCUUCCAGAUGUCUUUAAUGUUUCUGAUGGAUUAUUUGAUCUAGAUCGCCCUUUCAAUUAUUCUUCGAAUGGUGUAGAGCCUAGGUUUGAGUUACAACCCACAACCCUUAGGUUGCUUAAACUUUUCGAAGGUUGGAUUGUACGUUGAACUACCAAUUUAGGAAGCUAUGUUCCUGUGCCCGUAGCCUGCCUAUCAUAACCGUGCUUAAUAUGGCUCACACCUCCUAAGCUGUUAACCGAAACACCACGAAAUACGUUUAGGUGACUCCUCUGACAUUAUCACUUUGAAUUUGUAAACCUACAAUUAUGCAAAGUUUCAAAGAUGUGUGCUAUUCGUGAUUUUGAGGUAUCCCCUACACCGCAAAAUAGAAAAGAACGAACAAACAAACAAAAGAUGUAGCAUAAUCAAUCAUUGAACUCUUAUUCGUAAAAGAAUGCUGAAUUGAUAAGAGCACGUGAUUGAUUGCCUAAAUAUCACUGGAAGAAAGAUCAAAUCACUGGUGUAGUUUUAAUUAAAAGAUGAUACAACAUAAGUGUUACAUCAGGGAUCAUCUUUGACGAAUAGCCUAUUGUAACGCGUUAAGGAGGUGAACUCUCCAUGCACUUGUCUAUGGAUAGACGGCGAUGUCGAAAUUAAUGUGGUUGAAUUUGAAAUGGAUAGCCUAUAUAUCUUCUCAUGUCAUCAAGAAUCAAACCACUUGUAGUUCAACAUUAAGGGUUCUCUUAACCAAUAUGGUGGGGCUUGAGGACGGUCCACCUCAAAGUAGUCGAAGUUCCCCUUUUUUGCUUAGGUUUGCCAACUUUUCUUUCCUUGAGCAUCCUCUAUCCUCCAUAGAUGCAAUUGAUGCUAAGGGUGGGCUUCUCUGCUGGACACCGAUCAUUCUCAUCAUUAUUAAGCUCAUGGCGGAUUUCUCUUUCCCGGCUUUCCUUUUGAUGAACUCCUAGCAAUACCUCUGGUUAAAGAGCUCCUCAAUGCGGUCUAUUAGCGUACAACAGUUCUAAGUGGCCUGACUAGUUCAUUGGUGGAAGGAGCAGUAUUCGUUCAACCUUUUCUUAUUCAAAUGCUCAGGGAAGGGUUUUGGCCACCUGAGGAAAGGUUUAUCCUUGAUGCUAAGAAGGAUGUUGUUGAUGAUAGUGUUCAAAGCAGUGUAUUGCCUUAGCUUAGGCUGAGCUGAUCUGCCCUUGCAUCCCUUCCUAUCAUUCCGACGAGGAUAGGGAGAUGGAGUAUCACGAUUUUCCCACUUUUUGAUAGAAUCGUCUAUUGUGGCCUUGAUUAGGGACCUUUUUUCGGGUUUAGUUUUCCCAGCCAGUGAGAUGGUCCGCCACAUCAAAACACUUCGCCAAAGUGGUGUAAUCGUAAUUUUGUUCAGCUUCUGGGAGAGGGUUGAGUGGAAAUAGAGUCCCUGGUUGAAAGUUAUGGUGGCAAGUCUAUAGUCAGAUUUCUCUACUUUAGCUAAUUCCGCACGAAUAGCUAUGAGGAAACCCUAAGACUUUCAUCUUUGAUUUGAAUGACCAUGCUGAAUAUGGCUUAAUGACAUUUGCGGACAUCACGAUACAUUGAAUAGGGGUGUGUGAAGAUAUCGGCUAGGCUUUCAAAGCAGUCGAUAAAAUGGGCUAGUGAUUCCGAGAACCAUCUCAUGGAGGGAUCUUCUAACGUUGAUGGGAACAUUUUGUAAAUCCAAGCAUCGUUUACAACGUCAUGGCAUUACGGUAGCGCAUGAUGUGGUAAUCCGGGCCGGAAUUGUCGCAAAAGUACUUAAGUCGAGGGUGAGAGAACUUCUUAGAUGGGGGUGUCAACUCAAUUGUUGAAGAAAGAGGGCUCUUGGCCUUGGCGACGAUCUUGCUAGAGAUGCGAGGCUAAACUUCCCUCAGUGCAUCCCUAACUUUAUUUAUAAUGAUUCCAAAUUGGGCAGGAUUUAUUUUCCCACUUAAUUAAGGAAUCUGAAAAGGAAGCAAUCUCCAUCUUAACAUGGGAAUCAAGACAGAGAUCAAUUUACUCAAACCUAUCAAAGGGAAGAACAACUAAUAUUUUCAUAUUUGCACCUUCUUGGGAUUCAUACGUCAUUCCAAGAAGCUAGGGGCAUUUGUUGGGACAUAAAUUAUCCCUACCUGUUAAAGCACGCCAUGUGUAUUAUCAGCUCAAUAUGAUCAUCUUGCUUUUAACUGAUCAUGCAGACGUUAUCCAUACCUUGAUGGGUUUUGAUAGAAGCAUAUUUAUGCGACUGAGUUAGCUUGUUCUCAUGCAUUUAUGUUGUUAUUUCUUAGUUAAUUAUGUAUUUUAAGCUAUUUUCGUGUGUUUGUAGGUCCAUAGGCCUUAUAAAGUAAUAAGAUGCAUUUUGGUGCAUUUUGGAGCAGUUUUGGGCUUGGAAUGAUAGUACAUGCAUGGAGCAAGGUGGAUGGAUGAAAUUGAAGAC
rnacentral:lncRNA from 1 species